rnacentral:rRNA from 1 species
UACAGAGGUCUCAAGCGUUGUUCGGAUUCAUUGGGCGUAAAGGGUGCGUAGGCGGCGUGGUAAGUCGGAUGUGAAAUCUCGGAGCUUAACUCCGAAACUGCAUUCGAUACUGCCGUGCUUGAGGACUGGAGAGGAGACUGGAAUUUACGGUGUAGCGGUGAAAUGCGUAGAUAUCGUAAGGAAGACCAGUGGCGAAGGCGGGUCGUCGUGGACAGUUCCUGACGCUGAGGCACGAAGGCCAGGGGAGCAAACGGG